AGAGUUUGAUCCUGGCUCAGAAUGAACGCUGGCGGCGUGCUUGACACAUGCAAGUCGAACGAGAAAGCCGAAAGCUUGCUUUUGGCGAGUAAAGUGGCGCACGGGUGAGUAACGCGUGGGUAAUCUACCUUUGAAUUUGGGAUAACACUUCGAAAGGAGUGCUAAUACCGGAUAAUAUCUUUUUCAUUGCGGUGGGAAAGAUCAAAGAUGGCCUCUUCUUGAAAGCUAUUGUUUGAAGAUGAGCCCGCGUACCAUUAGCUUGUUGGUGGGGUAAUGGCCUACCAAGGCGACGAUGGUUAGCUGGUCUGAGAGGAUGAUCAGCCACACUGGAACUGGAACACGGUCCAGACUCCUACGGGAGGCAGCAGUGAGGAAUUUUGCGCAAUGGGGGAAACCCUGACGCAGCAACGCCGCGUGAGUGAUGAAGGCUUUCGGGUCGUAAAGCUCUGUCAAGUGGGAAGAAGUUGUGUAUGGCUAAUAUCUGUGCACAUUGACGGUACCACUGAAGGAAGCACCGGCUAACUCCGUGCCAGCCGCCGCGGU
rnacentral:rRNA from 1 species